rnacentral:rRNA from 1 species
UACGGAGGGUGCAAGCGUUAUUCGGAAUUACUGGGCGUAAAGAGCGCGUAGGCUGUUUGAUAAGUUUGAUGUGAAAGCCCUGGACUCAAUCCAGGAAGUGCAUCGAAUACUGUCAGACUAGAGUAUAGGAGAGGACAACGGAAUUUCUGGUGUAGAGGUGAAAUUCGUAGAUAUCAGAAGGAACAACAGUAGCGAAGGCGGUUGUCUGGACUAUAACUGACGCUGAGGCGCGAAAGUGUGGGGAGCAAACAGG